rnacentral:rRNA from 1 species
UACGUAGGGUGCAAGCGUUAAUCGGAAUUACUGGGCGUAAAGCGUGCGCAGGCGGUUCGCUAAGACAGAUGUGAAAUCCCCGGGCUUAACCUGGGAACUGCAUUUGUGACUGGCGGGCUAGAGUAUGGCAGAGGGGGGUAGAAUUCCACGUGUAGCGGUGAAAUGCGUAGAGAUGUGGAGGAAUACCGAUGGCGAAGGCAGCCCCCUGGGCCAAUACUGACGCUCAUGCACGAAAGCGUGGGGAGCAAACAGG